rnacentral:rRNA from 1 species
AACGAACGCUGGCGGCAGGCUUAACACAUGCAAGUCGAACGCCCCGCAAGGGGAGUGGCAGACGGGUGAGUAACGCGUGGGAACGUGCCCUUCGCUUCGGAAUAGCCCCGGGAAACUGGGAGUAAUACCGGAUACGCCGUAUUGGGAAAGAUUUAUCGGCGAAGGAUCGGCCCGCGUUAGAUUAGCUAGUUGGCGGUGUAAAUGGACCACCAAGGCUACGAUCUAUAGCUGGUCUGAGAGGAUGAUCAGCCACACUGGGACUGAGACACGGCCCAGACUCCUACGGGAGGCAGCAGUGGGGAAUCUUGGACAAUGGGCGCAAGCCUGAUCCAGCCAUGCCGCGUGAGUGAAGAAGGCCUUAGGGUUGUAAAACUCUUUCGCCGGAGAAGAUAAUGACGGUAUCCGGAGAAGAAGCCCCCGGCUAAACUUCGUGCCAGCAGCCGCGGU